rnacentral:rRNA from 1 species
UACGUAGGGGGCGAGCGUUGUCCGAAGUUACUGGGCGUAAAGCGCGCGUAGGCGGGUUGCUAAGUCCGCUGUGAAAGCCCGAGGCUUAACCUCGGAGGGUCGGUGGAUACUGGCAGUCUUGAAGGUGGUAGAGGGAAGUGGAAUUACCGGUGUAGCGGUGAAAUGCGUAGAUAUCGGUAGGAACACCAGUGGCGAAGGCGGCUUCCUGGCCCACUCUUGACGCUGAGGCGCGAAAGCUGGGGGAGCGAACGGG